rnacentral:misc_RNA from 1 species
GUUGCCUCAAGAUCCAUUGAUACAGUUUUUCCAUUCCAUGGCGUUCACCGGAGAGGAAGGAAAGUUUCUGUUGGUUCAUAGCCUGAGUAUAAAGCUGAGAAAGGGAAUUAGCAGCGCUACAAAAAGUCGAAUACAUGGUUCGAUCCACCUCAUCAAGGCUCGAUGCUAGAGACUUCCUUUUCUUCCCCAUCUUCAAUCGCCUCCUCCUAAUCCCUUAACCUUAUCUUUUUCAAUCGGUUUCGAUAACCCAAAAGAAUCUCCGGCGAAUUUUCGGUAGAUUUCGACGAAUUUCACGGUAGAGGUUGGUAUGAAAUUGUAUUUGUAAGCA